UUUGUGAUUAACUUAAAAGCAAGGAUAAAGCAAUGCCAUUAUUAAGUAAAUACUGCAGUCUGAAUCAACAUUUACUAACUGCUUUGUAAAGUCUUGCAUGCUGAUUGGCUUCACCAGGCAGGAUGGAAAAGAGGCAGUGUAUGGAGAGGCAAGGGAAAAAAAAGAUCAACUUUUUUGGACCAUUGCCUAAGACAUUCUGCAAAGAAGAAGAAGAACAAGAGGCAUUAGCUUGGCAUCAUUACUCUGGAAGACUAAAAGUACCUCAUAAACAGUGUGAAGUUUAGGUAGAAGAAGACAAAGCCCAAAGACUUUGAAUCAAAAUCUGAGAUGCUCAUGACAUAUAGUUACUACCUUCCUUUCCAAUCUCCAUGUCAAAAUAAUGCUAACUGGCUAAGUUCCUGAUGAACCUGAAAUCUCACACUGAAGAGCACAUGUGAUAUCAUGUUAAGCCAUGGAAGAAAAUUCUGUCAUAUACACCUUGUACAUCUAUUAUUAUUUCUUCUUAAAAUAGUUAUGUGGGUGUUGAUUUUUUCCUCAGGUUAUUUUUGGCAUAUAGCCCCCAUCACUGGGAGAAGGAAUAUUAACACAGACAUUCAUUGCUACAACUUCUGUUAAACCAAAUAUGACCAUAUCCCAAAGGAUUACUCUGAAUCUAAUAAAGUCCAAGUGAGACAAUG